rnacentral:rRNA from 1 species
UUGGAGGGCAAGUCUGGUGCCAGCAGCCGCGGUAAUUCCAGCUCCAAUAGCGUAUAUUAAAGUUGUUGCAGUUAAAAAGCUCGUAGUUGAAUUUUAGACCUGGCCAGGCGGUCCGUCUUUGGCGAGUACUGUCUUGUUGUCGGGUCUUCCUUCUGGUGAACCAGUAUGUCCUUUAUUGGGUGUGUUGGGGAGCCAGGACCAUUACCUUGAAAAAAUUAGAGUGUUUAAAGCGGGCUAUUGCUUGAAUAGAUUAGCAUGGAAUAAUAGAAUAGGACGUUGCGGUUCUAUUUUGUUGGUUUCUAGGACCACCGUAAUGAUUAAUAGGGAUAGUUGGGGGCAUUAGUAUUCAAUUGUCAGAGGUGAAAUUCUUGGAUUUAUUGAAGACUAACUAUUGCGAAAGCAUUUGCCAAGGAUGUUUUCAUUAAUCAAGAACGAAAGUUAGGGGAUCGAAGACGAUCAGAUACCGUCGUAGUCUUAACCAUAAACUAUGCCGACUAGGAAUCGGGCGUCGUUAUUUUAAUGACUCGCUCGGCGCCUUACGGGAAAC